UAGAUAGGUUUGCGUGUUUAUGUGGCUUAUGUGUUAUAUGUUUUACCUGCUUUCGUUAGGAUUUUUGCAUCUAGAUAUUAUGCUUACGUGUUACGUGCUACGUGCUCUUAUGUGUUUAUUUGUUUUAAUUUAUGUUUUAUUUGUUUUACUAUGUACUAUUAAUGCAUGGCGUCACCACACUAGUCCAACGCUAGUUGUGGCUUCUCCCUCCGCUUACUUGCUAGCCCAACGCUAGUAAGGAAUUUUAGAAAUGGGCUAGUCCAACGCUAGAUCCUUUAGGUCGUCUUGCGC
rnacentral:lncRNA from 1 species